rnacentral:rRNA from 1 species
AGAGUUUGAUCAUGGCUCAGGAUGAACGCUAGCUACAGGCUUAACACAUGCAAGUCGAGGGGAAACGACAUCGAAAGCUUGCUUUUGAUGGGCGUCGACCGGCGCACGGGUGAGUAACGCGUAUCCAACCUGCCCACCACUUGGGGAUAACCUUGCGAAAGUAAGACUAAAUACCCAAUGACGUCUCUAGAAGACAUCUGAAGGAGAUUUAAAAGAUUUAUCGGUGAUGGAUGGGGAUGCGUCUGAUUAGCUUGUUGGCGGGGUAACGGCCACCAAGGCGACGAUCAGUAGGGGUUCUGAGAGGAAGGUCCCCCANAUUGGAACUGAGACACGGUCCAAACUCCUACGGGAGGCA